GUCUUUUCGAGGUAGGAGUCGACUCCUGUGAGGUAUGGUGCUGGGUGCAGAUGCAGUGUGGCUCUGGAUAGCACCUUAUGGACAGUUGUGUCCCCAAGGAAGGAUGAGAAUAGCUACUGAAGUCCUAAAGAGCAAGCCUAACUCAAGCCAUUGGCACACAGGCAUUAGACAGAAAGCUGGAAGUUGAAAUGGUGGAGUCCAACUUGCCUGGACCAGCUUAAUGGUUCUGCUCCUGGUAACGUUUUUAUCCAUGGAUGACUUGCUUGGGUAAGGACAUGAAGACAGUUCCUGUCAUACCUUUUAAAGGUAUGGAGAGUCGGCUUGACUACACUGUGUGGAGCAAGUUUUAAAGAAGCAAAGGACUCAGAAUUCAUGAUUGAAGAAAUGCAGGGUUUUUAAUGACCACAACAAGCAAGCAUGCAGCUUACUGCUUGAAAGGGUCUUGCCUCACCCAAGCUAGAGUGCAGUGGCCUUUGAAGCUUACUACAGCCUCAAACUUCUGGGCUCAAGUGAUCCUCAGCCUCCCAGUGGUCUUUGUAGACUGCCUGAUGGAGUCUCAUGGCACAAGAAGAUUAAAACAGUGUCUCCAAUUUUAAUAAAUUUUUGCAAUCCAUC
rnacentral:sRNA from 1 species